UACCAGACUCCUACGGGAGGCAGCAGUGGGGAAUAUUGCACAAUGGGCGAAAGCCUGAUGCAGCAACGCCGCGUGAGCGAAGAAGGUCUUCGGAUUGUAAAGCUCUGUCCUAGGGGAAGAAGAAAAUGACGGUACCCUUGGAGGAAGCCCCGGCUAACUACGUGCCAGCAGCCGCGGUAAUACGUAGGGGGCAAGCGUUAUCCGGAAUUAUUGGGCGUAAAGAGUGCGUAGGUGGUUACCUAAGCAGGGGGUGAAAGGCAAUGGCUCAACCAUUGUUAGCCCUCUGAACUGGGUUACUUGAGUGCAGGAGAGGAAAGCGGAAUUCCUAGUGUAGCGGUGAAAUGCGUAGAUAUUAGGAGGAACACCAGUGGCGAAGGCGGCUUUCUGGACUGAAACUGACACUGAGGCACGAAAGUGUGGGGAGCAAACAGGAUUAGAUACCCUUGUA
rnacentral:rRNA from 1 species